rnacentral:rRNA from 1 species
AACGAACGCUGGCGGCAGGCUUAACACAUGCAAGUCGAGCGCCCCGCAAGGGGAGCGGCAGACGGGUGAGUAACGCGUGGGAACGUACCUUUUGGUUCGGAACAACUCCGGGAAACUGGAGCUAAUACCGGAUAAGCCCUAACGGGGAAAGAUUUAUCGCCGAAAGAUCGGCCCGCGUCUGAUUAGCUAGUUGGUGAGGUAACGGCUCACCAAGGCGACGAUCAGUAGCUGGUCUGAGAGGAUGAUCAGCCACACUGGGACUGAGACACGGCCCAGACUCCUACGGGAGGCAGCAGUGGGGAAUAUUGGACAAUGGGCGCAAGCCUGAUCCAGCCAUGCCGCGUGAGUGAUGAAGGCCUUAGGGUUGUAAAGCUCUUUUGUCCGGGAAGAUAAUGACUGUACCGGAAGAAUAAGCCCCGGCUAACUUUGUG